rnacentral:rRNA from 1 species
AUUGAACGCUGGCGGCAGGCCUAACACAUGCAAGUCGAGCGGGGUUUUCGGACCUAGCGGCGGACGGGUGAGUAAUGCGUAGGAAGCUACCCGAUAGAGGGGGAUACCAGUUGGAAACGACUGUUAAUACCGCAUAAUGUCUACGGACCAAAGUGUGGGACCUUCGGGCCACAUGCUAUCGGAUGCGCCUACGUGGGAUUAGCUAGUUGGUGAGGUAAUGGCUCACCAAGGCGACGAUCCCUAGCUGGUUUGAGAGGAUGAUCAGCCACACUGGAACUGAGACACGGUCCAGAGUCCUACGGGAGGCAGCAGUGGGGAAUAUUGGACAAUGGGCGCAAGCUUGAUCCAGCCAUGCCGCGUGUGUGAAGAAGGCCUUCGGGUUGUAAAGCACUUUCAGCGAGGAGGAAGGGGUGAGUGUUAAUAGUACUCAUCUUUGACGUUACUCGCAGAAGAAGCACCGGCUAACUCUGUGCCAGCCGCCGCAGUAACAC